GAUGAACGCUGGCGGCGUGGAUAAGGCAUGCAAGUCAAACGGCUCUUGUGUUUACAUAAGAGCAGUGGCAAACGGGGUAGUAACAGGUAGGAACAUACCCAUGAGUCAGGAAUAACUGCAGGAAACUGUAGCUAAUACCUGAUAGUCCCUUCGGGGUAAAGAUUUAUCGCUCAUGGAAUGGCCUGCUUCGUAUCAGCUAGUUGGUAGUGUAAUGGACUACCAAGGCUAUGACGCGUAGGGGAGGUGAGAGCCUGACCCCCACCAUUGGAACUGCGACACGGUCCAAACUCCUACGGGAGGCUGCAGUCGAGAAUCUUCCGCAAUGCACGAAAGUGUGACGGAGCGACGCCGCGUGAUGGAUGAAGUCUUUCGGGAUGUAAACAUCUUUUAUACGUGAAGAAGUAUAUUGACAUUAGCGUAUGAAUAAGAGGUUCCUAAACUCG
rnacentral:rRNA from 1 species